rnacentral:snRNA from 1 species
GUGCUCCCUUCAGCAACACAUAUACUAAAGUCGGAACAACACUGAGAUUAGCAUGGCCCCUGCAUAAGGAUGACACACAUAUUCAUGAAGCAUUCCAUGAUUUU